rnacentral:rRNA from 1 species
ACGGGAGGCAGCAGUGGGGAAUAUUGGGCAAUGGGCGAAAGCCUGACCCAGCAACGCCGCGUGAAGGAAGAAGGUCUUCGGAUUGUAAACUUCUUUUAUGAGGGACGAAGGACGUGACGGUACCUCAUGAAUAAGCCACGGCUAACUACGUGCCAGCAGCCGCGGUAAUACGUAGGUGGCAAGCGUUAUCCGGAUUUACUGGGUGUAAAGGGCGCGUAGGCGGGGAUGCAAGUCAGAUGUGAAAUCUAUGGGCUUAACUCAUAAACUGCAUUUGAAACUGUAUCUCUUGAGUGCUGGAGAGGUAGACGGAAUUCCUAGUGUAGCGGUGAAAUGCGUAGAUAUGCUGCAGAACUCCGAUAGCGAAGGCAGCUUGCCGUACCUGCACUGACGCUCAUGCACGAAAGCGUGGGGAUCAAACAGGAUUAGAUACCCUGGUA